rnacentral:rRNA from 1 species
UACGUAGGGUGCAAAGCGUUAAUCGGAAUUACUGGGCGUAAAGCGUGCGCAGGCGGUGAUGUAAGACAGGUGUGAAAUCCCCGGGCUAACCUGGGAACUGCAUUUGUGACUGCAUUGCUGGAGUAUGGCAGAGGGGGGUGGAAUUCCACGUGUAGCAGUGAAAUGCGUAGAGAUGUGGAGGAACACCGAUGGCGAAGGCAGCCCCCCUGGGCCAAUACUGACGCUCAUGCACGAAAGCGUGGGGAGCAAACAGG